rnacentral:tRNA from 1 species
AGGUCUUAUAGUCAUAAAAUGAUUUUAAAUUGCAAAUUUAAAGGUAAAGUAAAUUUUAAGGCUUA